AGAACGAACGCUGGCGGCAUGCCUAACACAUGCAAGUCGAGCGGGCGUAGCAAUACGUCAGCGGCAGACGGGUGAGUAACGCGUGGGAACGUACCUUUUGGUUCGGAACAACCCAGGGAAACUUGGGCUAAUACCGGAUAAGCCCUUACGGGGAAAGAUUUAUCGCCGAAAGAUCGGCCCGCGUCUGAUUAGCUAGUUGGUGAGGUAAUGGCUCACCAAGGCGACGAUCAGUAGCUGGUCUGAGAGGAUGAUCAGCCACAUUGGGACUGAGACACGGCCCAAACUCCUACGGGAGGCAGCAGUGGGGAAUAUUGGACAAUGGGCGCAAGCCUGAUCCAGCCAUGCCGCGUGAGUGAUGAAGGCCCUAGGGUUGUAAAGCUCUUUUGUGCGGGAAGAUAAUGACGGUACCGCAAGAAUAAGCCCCGGCUAACUUCGCGCCAGCAGCCGC
rnacentral:rRNA from 1 species